AUCGCUUCUCAGCCUUUUGGCUAAGAUCAAGUGUAGUAUCUGUUCACGUCAGCUUAAUUGGAACCACAUCAUUUAUUUCUCCAAUAUUGGUGAAGUGCAUAGCAAUUCACCCGUACUCUCU
rnacentral:snRNA from 1 species